rnacentral:rRNA from 1 species
GAUGAACGCUGGCGGCGUGCCUAAUACAUGCAAGUCGAGCGAACGGACGAGAAGCUUGCUUCUCUGAUGUUAGCGGCGGACGGGUGAGUAACACGUGGAUAACCUACCUAUAAGACUGGGAUAACUUCGGGAAACCGUAGCUAAUACCGGAUAAUAUUUUGAACCGCAUGGUUCAAAAGUGAAAGACGGUCUUGCUGUCACUUAUAGAUGGAUCCGCGCUGCAUUAGCUAGUUGGUAAGGUAACGGCUUACCAAGGCAACGAUGCAUAGCCGACCUGAGAGGGUGAUCGGCCACACUAGAACUGAGACACGGUCCAGACUCCUACGGGAGGCAGCAGUAGGGAAUCUUCCGCAAUGGGCGGAAGCCUGACGGAGCAACGCCGCGUGAGUGAUGAAGGUCUUCGGAUCGUAAAACUCUGUUAUUAGGGAAGAACAUAUGUGUAAGUAACUGUGCACAUCUUGACGGUACCUAAUCAGAAAGCCACGGCUAACUACGUG